GAUUUCUGGUUUGACGUCGCUGACCCGCUUCUUCGGAGGUGAGUGUCGGUUGCCGUCUGCCAUCCUUCCAGAAAACCUUUCUACCCUUCACUGGGCCGGAUUGGCAAUCUGGAACAUUUACUUUGAAAAAAUUAGAGUGUUCAAAGCAGGCUUGCGCUGUGAAUACAUUAGCAUGGAAUAAUAAUUUAGGGCUUCGGUUCUAUUUUGUUGGUUUCUAGGAUUGAAGCAAUGAUUGAUAGGGAUAGUUGGGGGUGCUAGUAUUAAGAGGCCAGAGGUGAAAUUCUUGGAUUCUCUUAAGACUAACUUAUGCGAAAGCAUU
rnacentral:rRNA from 1 species